CGGGUGAGUAACACGUGGAUAACCUACCUAUAAGACUGGGAUAACUUCGGGAAACCGGAGCUAAUACCGGAUAAUAUUUUGAACCGCAUGGUUCAAAAGUGAAAGACGGUCUUGCUGUCACUUAUAGAUGGAUCCGCGCUGCAUUAGCUAGUUGGUAAGGUAACGGCUCACCAAGGCAACGAUGCAUAGCCGACCUGAGAGGGUGAUCGGCCACACUGGAACUGAGACACGGUCCAG
rnacentral:rRNA from 1 species